rnacentral:lncRNA from 1 species
ACUCCUAUAUUGUGAUGGUGUCCUUAGAACUACUUUGAUCGAUAAAGGAAGAUUUAUUGCAUAGUCUUUAAAUUGAUUUGUGACCAAACGAUAUGCUAUUACUAGGAUGAUAGAGAUAUCAAGUGUAGGUCAUUGUCUGCCAUAUGUGUUGGUUGUCUUCAUAAUCAAACGAUGUGGAGAUACUAGUAUGACAUAUAGGUG